GGGUCGUUUGGAAGCUGAUCCUGAUAUGAGCACAGCAGCAAUGGCUACAUCUUCAUUAACCUGUGACUUUAAUGACACAGUCACUUGCAACACAACAGAAGCAACGUGUAUCACCCCAGCAGGGACAGGAACUUCAAUUAUGAUGGAAGACAUCACAGCUAGAAAGGCACAAGGUGAACCAGGACCAGAUCCAGUUGCUGACGCAAUAAAGCAAUUAAUAGCUGUACAGUGCC